rnacentral:rRNA from 1 species
CCCGCUGAACUUAAGCAUAUUAAUAAGCGGAGGAAAAGAAACUAACAAGGAUUCCCUCAGUAACGGCGAGCGAAGCGGGAAUAGCUCAAAUUUGAAAUCUCCAGGGGCAACCUUGGCGAAUUGUAGUUUAGAGAAGCGCUUUCUAAGGCAGGACACCGUCGAAGUUCUUUGGAACGAGACAUCAGAGAGGGUGAGAAUCCCGUAUCUGGCGGUGUGUCUCUUGCUUUUAUACGGGGCGUUUUCGAAGAGUCAGGUUGUUUGGGAAUGCAGCCUAAAAUGGGUGGUAAAUUUCAUCUAAAGCUAAAUACAGGCACGAGACCGAUAGCGAACAAGUACCGUGAGGGAAAGAUGAAAAGCACUUUGAAAAGAGAGUUAAAUAGCACGUGAAGCCGUUAAAAUGGAAACGAUUGAAGUCAGCAGUGCUUGCCUGAUAAUCAAUCUGGAUAGCGUUUGCUAGUGUGGCUUUUCGGAGGGCGCAAGUUCACGGAGUCAUGGUAGUACAGGCGUUGUACGGGUGCACUUAUUGGGCUGAGCGGGUCAGCAUCGGUUUGGUUGUGCGGGGUAAGGUGCGCGGGAAGGUAGCUUGGUUGGGGCAACUCAGCUGAGUGUUAAGCCUGUGUACUGAGACGUCAACUAGACCGAGGAAACAGACGCAGUGCAUACCCUUCGGGGUUAGAGGGUUUCUGUCAUGGUGUUUUCCACUGCAGGUUACUGUUUCACGACACGUGGCUUGUGGUGCGUGAGGUGCUAGAGAUGGGGAUCAUUCAUACAAUGCGCUUCGGAUGCUGACGAAAUGGCUUUAACCGACCCGUCUUGAAACACGG